GGUGAUGGUCUUACCCGUCAAGGUCUUCACGAAGAUCUGCAUUGUCUGGCGGCUGUGACAGAAGCGCACGGAGACGAACAACCGACCUCCCGGCCUCCACGGAACUGCCUGCGCCACGCCCGGCGCCUCCUUAUAUAACAAUCGGCCGCGCCGCUCCGGCGGAUCCCUGCGCAGAAACGCCGAGAAGGGACUACUUUUCACCGUCUUCCUGGCCUCCAGGGAGAAAACCACUGCCCCAGAAUCUUCUAGGAGCCCCCGGAAACGUCGACCUGUCAAGGCUGGGCUGUAGGGCUGAAUCUGGCGAGGAGAGGGCCGCGGUCCCGAGCGCCCGCGCGGAGGGAUCAGCGCGCCCGUUGAGUGCUGCGUCCGCGGACGUGGCCGGCGCCGGAUGCGCGGGGGGAGGGGGGAGGGGGCGAGCGCGGAGAACAGGGCCCGCGGGAGACGGGAAAACCCGGCGCGGAAUCGCCGGGCGUCCGGGGCGAGCUGCCCCUGCCGCGGGACCCAGACACCCCUUCCCCUCGGCCGCAGCGGUCCCCGCGGCUCUCGAGACCCGCCCUGGGCGGAGAGGGGUUGGGCGUCGUGGUCCCUCGCCCCUCCGCGACCGCAGGGGUCCUCGCGCCGGGGCCUGCGGCCCGCCCAUCCCCCCGCGCGGGCGCGGACAGGACGGAUGACUCGACAGAUCGCGGCGCGGGGCGGGGCGGGAGGUGGGCCCGGGCUGGGCUGGGGCAGCGGGGGAGCAGGGGGUGCGGGACGGCCGAAGGCUAGAAGGGGGCGCAGAAACCCCGCACGCUUUGCCCGCACCUAUUCGAGAGGCGUCUGGAAGUCCACCGAACUUCCUAGAAUGUCCUUUGGCCUUCCUGUACCACCUACGCCGCCUUGUACUAGAUACACACACGGAGGCAUCUGGUGGACACUCAGUGGAGCUCAGACGUACAACUUCCUUAGGCCUGGGGUCUCAGAAACACAAGUCCAAUCCCAGAUCCGUCCUUUGCAAGCGGCCCAGAAGAGAUUGCUUCAGAGCUGGCACCAAUGGAAGAGUGACAGAGGCCCAGCAACACGGCAGGAUUGGAGUCAGAAAAUCAGACUUUACUUCCAGUCUCCAAACUUGCCUCUACUCUACUUGAGGAAGAUUGAAAAGUUAACCCACAGGGAAUUUGCUUUGUUUUUAAUUCGUUUUUAA
rnacentral:lncRNA from 12 species